GACGUAGGGCGCGAGCGUUGUCCGGAUUUAUUGGGCGUAAAGAGCUCGUAGGCGGCUUGUCGCGUCGUCCGUGAAAACCUGCAGCUCAACUGCAGGCUUGCGGUCGAUACGGGCAGGCUGGAGUUCGGUAGGGGAGACUGGAAUUCCUGGUGUAGCGGUGAAAUGCGCAGAUAUCAGGAGGAACACCAAUAGCGAAGGCAGCUCGCUGGGACGGUACUGACGCUAAGGCGCGAAAGCGUGGGGAGCGAACAGG
rnacentral:rRNA from 1 species